UGACUCAACACGGGAAAACUUACCAGGUCCGAACAUAAGUGUGUAAGACAGAUUGAUAGCUCUUUCUCGAAUCUAUGGGUGGUGGUGCAUGGCCAUAAAUUUUUAUAAGCAUAUGGUAUAUUAUUGGAUAAAUAUAAUAAUUUUUAUUCAUAAUAUUAAAAAAUAAAUGAAAAACAUUAUCUCACAUUUGAAUGUGAAAAACGAAGAGAAAUAUUUUCUUUUUCAAUCAAAUAAUACUGAGAAAUGUCUAGCAUAAAAAAUUGAAAUAUUUUCAUCUAGAAUUGUCUCUUAUUAAUGAUUCGGAAAUAGAAAAAUCUUGGUUAUGUUAUUAUUCUUCGUUGGUUCGUUAAAAAUGGAUAAAUAAAAACUUUGCAUACAAGAAUUAAUAAAAAUGUUAUAACGAAUUUAAUUAAAUGUUUUAUCAUUAUAUAUAAAGAAUUUAUGGCAAGAUAAAGUUAUAUACAACCUCAACUCAUAUGGGACUACCCCCUGAAUUUAAGCAUAUUAAUUAGGGGAGGAAAAGAAACUAACAAGGAUUUUCUUAGUAGCGGCGAGCGAAAAGAAAACAGUUCAGCACUAAGUCACUUUGUCUAUAUGGCAAAUGUGAGAUGCAGUGUAUGGAGCGUCAAUAUUCUAGUAUGAGAAAUUAACGAUUUAAGUCCUUCUUAAAUGAGGCCAUUUACCCAUAGAGGGUGCCAGGCCCGUAUAACGUUAAUGAUUACUAGAUGAUGUUUCCAAAGAGUCGUGUUGCUUGCAGCACUAAGUGGGUGGUAAACUCCAUCUAAAACUAAAUAUAACCAUGAGACCGAUAGUAAACAAGUACCGUGAGGGAAAGUUGAAAAGAACUCUGAAUAGAGAGUUAAACAGUACGUGAAACUGCUUAGAGGUUAAGCCCGAUGAACCUGAAUAUCCGUUAUGGAAAAUUCAUCAUUAAAAUUGUAAUAUUUAAAUAAUAUUAUGAGAAUAGUGUGCAUUUUUUCCAUAUAAGGACAUUGUAAUCUAUUAGCAUAUACCAAAUUUAUCAUAAAAUAUAACUUAUAGUUUAUUCCAAUUAAAUUGCUUGCAUUUUAACACAGAAUAAAUGUUAUUAAUUUGAUAAAGUGCUGAUAGAUUUAUAUGAUUACAGUGCGUUAAUUUUUCGGAAUUAUAUAAUGGCAUAAUUAUCAUUGAUUUUUGUGUUUAUUAUAUGCACUUGUAUGAUUAACAAUGCGAAAGAUUCAGGAUACCUUCGGGACCCGUCUUGAAACACGGACCAAGGAGUCUAACAUAUGUGCAAGUUAUUGGGAUAUAAACCUAAUAGCGUAAUUAACUUGACUAAUAAUGGGAUUAGUUUUUUAGCUAUUUAUAGCUAAUUAACACAAUCCCGGGGCGUUCUAUAUAGUUAUGUAUAAUGUAUAUUUAUAUUAUUUAUGCCUCUAACUGGAACGUACCUUGAGCAUAUAUGCUGUGACCCGAAAGAUGGUGAACUAUACUUGAUCAGGUUGAAGUCAGGGGAAACCCUGAUGGAAGACCGAAACAGUUCUGACGUGCAAAUCGAUUGUCAGAAUUGAGUUUAGGGGCGAAAGACCAAUCGAACCAUCUAGUAGCUGGUUCCUUCCGAAGUUUCCCUCAGGAUAGCUGGUGCAUUUUAAUAUUAUAUAAAAUAAUCUUAUCUGGUAAAGCGAAUGAUUAGAGGCCUUAGGGUCGAAACGAUCUUAACCUAUUCUCAAACUUUAAAUGGGUAAGAACCUUAACUUUCUUGAUAUGAAGUUCAAGGUUAUGAUAUAAUGUGCCCAGUGGGCCACUUUUGGUAAGCAGAACUGGCGCUGUGGAUGAACCAAACGUAAUGUUACGGUGCCCAAAUUAACAACUCAUGCAGAUACCAUGAAAGGCGUUGGUUGCUUAAAACAGCAGGACGGUGAUCAUGGAAGUCGAAAUCCGCUAAGGAGUGUGUAACAACUCACCUGCCGAAGCAACUAGCCCUUAAAAUGGAUGGCGCUUAAGUUGUAUACCUAUACAUUACCGCUAAAGUAGAUGAUUUAUAUUACUUGUGAUAUAAAUUUUGAAACUUUAGUGAGUAGGAAGGUACAAUGGUAUGCGUAGAAGUGUUUGGCGUAAGCCUGCAUGGAGCUGCCAUUGGUACAGAUCUUGGUGGUAGUAGCAAAUAAUCGAAUGAGACCUUGGAGGACUGAAGUGGAGAAGGGUUUCGUGUGAACAGUGGUUGAUCACGAGUUAGUCGGUCCUAAGUUCAAGGCGAAAGCCGAAAAUUUUCAAGUAAAACAAAAAUGCCUAACUAUAUAAACAAAGCGAAUUAUAAUACACUUGAAUAAUUUUGAACGAAAGGGAAUACGGUUCCAAUUCCGUAACCUGUUGAGUAUCCGUUUGUUAUUAAAUAUGGGCCUCGUGCUCAUCCUGGCAACAGGAACGACCAUAAAGAAGCCGUCGAGAGAUAUCGGAAGAGUUUUCUUUUCUGUUUUAUAGCCGUACUACCAUGGAAGUCUUUCGCAGAGAGAUAUGGUAGAUGGGCUAGAAGAGCAUGACAUAUACUGUUGUGUCGAUUUUUUCUCCUCGGACCUUGAAAAUUUAUGGUGGGGACACGCAAACUUCUCAACAGGCCGUACCAAUAUCCGCAGCUGGUCUCCAAGGUGAAGAGUCUCUGAAGAUUGAGAUAGUCGGGCUU
rnacentral:rRNA from 1 species